rnacentral:rRNA from 1 species
GAUGAACGCUGGCGGCGUGCCUAAUACAUGCAAGUCGAGCGAACAGACGAGGAGCUUGCUCCUUUGACGUUAGCGGCGGACGGGUGAGUAACACGUAGGUAACCUACCUAUAAGACUGGGAUAACUUCGGGAAACCGGAGCUAAUACCGGAUAAUAUUUCGAACCGCAUGGUUCGAUAGUGAAAGAUGGCUUUGCUAUCACUUAUAGAUGGACCUGCGCCGUAUUAGCUAGUUGGUAAGGUAACGGCUUACCAAGGCAACGAUACGUAGCCGACCUGAGAGGGUGAUCGGCCACACUGGAACUGAGACACGGUCCAGACUCCUACGGGAGGCAGCAGUAGGGAAUCUUCCGCAAUGGGCGAAAGCCUGACGGAGCAACGCCGCGUGAGUGAUGAAGGUCUUCGGAUCGUAAAACUCUGUUAUCAGGGAAGAACAAAAGUGUAAGUAACUGUGCACGUCUUGACGGUACCUAAUCAGAAAGCCACGGCUAACUACGUG